UAAACGACUCUCGGCAACGGAUAUCUUGGCUCACGCAUCGAUGAAGAACGUAGCAAAAUGCGAUACUUGGUGUGAAUUGCAGAAUCCCGUGAACCAUCGAGUUUUUGAACGCAAGUUGCGCCCGAAGCCAUUUGGUCGAGGGCACGUCUGCCUGGGCGUCACGC
rnacentral:rRNA from 1 species